rnacentral:rRNA from 1 species
UAAUACCAGCGGUCCGAGUGGGACUCGCAAUUACUGGGUCUAAAACAUCCGUAGCUGGUCUUGAAAGUUUCUUGUUAAAUUGUUGCGCUCAACGCAAUAGCUGCAAGAAAUACUGUAAGACUAGAGACUGGGAGACGUAGCGAGUACAAUAAGGGUAGUGGUAAAAUGUGUUAAUCCUUACUGGACUAACAAUGGCGAAGGCACGCUACGAGAACAGAUCUGACAGUCAGGGAUGAAAGCGAGGGGCGCAAAACGGAUUAGAUACCCGUGUAGUCCUCGCCGUAAACACUGCCUAUUAAACAUCAUGAUCUCUUCGAGAGAUGGUGGUGCUGUAAUGAAGAUGGAAAUAGGCUACCUGGGAAGUAUAGUCGCAAGACCG